rnacentral:tRNA from 1 species
GCUCCUGUCGUUUAAGGGUUAAGGCAAUACUUUUUCGUAGUAUAAAUGUGGGUUCGAAUCCCACCAGGAGUA